UACAGAGGGUGCAAGCGUUAAUCGGAAUUACUGGGCGUAAAGCGUGCGCAGGCGGUUGUGCAAGACCGAUGUGAAAUCCCCGGGCUUAACCUGGGAAUGGCAUUGGUGACUGCACGGCUAGAGUGUGUCAGAGGGGGGUAAAAUUCCACGUGUAGCAGUGAAAUGCGUAGAGAUGUGGAGGAAUACCGAUGGCGAAGGCAGCCCCCUGGGAUAACACUGACGCUCAUGCACGAAAGCGUGGGGAGCAAACAGG
rnacentral:rRNA from 1 species